AGCUUCCCAUACAGGUUGAAGCAUGACCGUAAGGACAUGUGGACAGUAUGGGAGUGAGAAUGUUGGCAUGAGUAGCGAGAUGUGGGUGAGAAUCCCACAGGCCGUAAACCCAAGGUUUCCAGGGGAAGGUUCGUCCGCCCUGGGUUAGUCGGGACCUAAGCUGAGGCCGAAAGGCGUAGGUGAUGGACAACAGGUUGAUAUUCCUGUACUACCGAUAACCGUUUGAGAGAAGGGAUGACACAGUAGGAUAAGUUAAGCACACUGUUGGUUAUGUGUGCCCAAGCAUUGAGGCAGUCAAAGCAGGCAAAUCCGCUUUGAUAAUGCUGGGAUGUGAUGGGGAGCGAAAUUUAGUAGCGAAGUAGCUGAUUUCACACUGUCAAGAAAAGUCUCUAUCGAGGUUAAAGGUACCCGUACCGCAAACCGACACAGGUGGGUGAGGAGAGUAUCCUAAGGCCAGCGAGAGAACUGUUGUUAAGGAACUCGGCAAAAUGACCCCGUAACUUAGGGAUAAGGGGUGCCACCAUCAGGUGGCCGCAGAGAAUAGGCCCAAGCGACUGUUUACCAAAAACAUAGGUUUCUGCUAAGUCGCAAGACGAUGUAUAGGAGCUGACGCCUGCCCGGUGCUGGAAGGUUAAGGGGAUCUGUUAGAGCAAUCGAAGCAGUGAACUUAAGCCCCAGUAAACGGCGGCCGUAACUAUAACGGUCCUAAGGUAGCGAAAUUCCUUGUCGGGUAAGUUCCGACCCGCACGAAAGGCGUAACGAUUUGGGCACUGUCUCAACAACAGACUCGGUGAAAUUGUAAUUCCGGUGAAGAUGCCGGAUACCUGCGACAGGACGGAAAGACCCCAUGGAGCUUUACUGUAGCUUGACAUUGGGUCUUGGUACUACAUGUACAGGAUAGGUGGGAGGCUUUGAAACCAGGACGCCAGUUUUGGCGGAGCCAUCCUUGGGAUACCACCCUUGUAGUACUGGGACUCUAACCAUAGGCCAUGAAUCUGGUCUUGGGACACUGUCAGGUGGGCAGUUUGACUGGGGCGGUCGCCUCCCAAAAGGUAACGGAGGCGCUCAAAGGUUCUCUCAGUACGGUCGGAAAUCGUACGUAGAGUGUAAAGGCAAAAGAGAGCUUGAUUGCAAGACAUACAGGUCGAGCAAGGAUGAAAAUCGGACUUAGUGAUCCGGUGGUUCUGCGUGGAAGGGCCAUCGCUCAACGGAUAAAAGCUACCCUGGGGAUAACAGGCUUAUCUCCCCCAAGAGUCCACAUCGACGGGGAGGUUUGGCACCUCGAUGUCGGCUCAUCACAUCCUGGGGCUGUAGUAGGUCCCAAGGGUUGGGCUGUUCGCCCAUUAAAGUGGUACGCGAGCUGGGUUCAGAACGUCGUGAGACAGUUCGGUCCCUAUCCGUCGCAGGCGUAGGAAAUUUGAGAAGACCUGUCCUUAGUACGAGAGGACCGGGAUGGACG
rnacentral:rRNA from 1 species